rnacentral:rRNA from 1 species
AUGGACCCGCGCGCCAGGAUCCACCCAGAUGCCACAGCCCUCGUGGACCGGUGUGUCAAGGAGUUCAUCAACAUGGUCACCGUCCAGGCCGAAGAGGAGCGCGGAAUGGACGGCAAGAAGAAAAUGACUGGCCUCCACGUGAUCAAAGCUUUCGACAUCCUCGGCUACAGCAACUACGUCGGGCCCCUCACUGAGCAUCUCCGCCGGUACCGCGAGGUUACGGGCUACGUGGGAGUGAGACGCAGCAACAAGCGAGCCACCGCGCAGCGGCAGGCUGCGACGGGGCAGAUGGCGCCACAGCCAUCCGACACCGCGUUGGGUCCACCACCGGCCGGCAUCACGGUGCAAGGUGAGUUGCCGGCGGCCGCUGUGACGACGGGUGGCGGAGGAGAUGGCACCACAGCCGUCCGUCUUUAUAUUGGGUGUAUCGCGGCCGGAAGAUGUCACGGUGCAAGAUCAGGCGUCGGCGGCCACUGUGACGGCGGCCACGGGGAGAUGGAACCAGCAGCACCACGGCUGUUCGGCUUUGCAUUGUGUCAGCGGUGCGUUAUCCGGAGUUGCGCUGGCAAGCAGCUCUAG